ensembl:lncRNA
AGAAAAGAAGAAAGAAAAAGGUAUUGCAGCUCUAUAAUUCAGAACCUGCAUACAUUCUGCAUAUAUUUUUUAUGUAUUUUGAUCAUUUGUUUGUUUGUUUUAGUCGUUAAAAAGACAGCUGUGCAGAAAGUCUCCAAAAAGGUGGUUAAAAAAGCUCCAGAAGAAGUUGCUCCUCCCAAAGUUCCAGAAAAGAAACCUCAAGAGGUUAAAGUCACCACUGUAGUUAAGAAGAAAGAAGAACCAGUUCUUGAGAGAAAGGAAGAAAUUUAUGAGGUUCACAAAGAAGCAUAUGAAGAAUGGGAAGAAGAUUACGGAGAGGAGCAUGAAUAUUUUGAAAGAGAAGAAGGUUACGAUGAAGGAGAAGAAGAAUGGGCAUAUGAAGAAAGAAAAGCAGUUUAUGAGGAAAAGAAAGUUUAUGAAGAAGGUACACAGCAUAAAAAAUAUGGCUUUUCUUCAUUCGUGAUUA